rnacentral:rRNA from 1 species
UGAGGAAUAUUAGUCAAUGGGCGCAAGCCUGAACCAGCCAAGUCGCGUGAGGGAAGACGGUCCUAUGGAUUGUAAACCUCUUUUGUCAGGGAGCAAGCGCGGGACGCGUCCCGUCGUUGAGAGUACCUGAAGAAAAGCAUCGGCUAACUCCGUGCCAGCAGCCGCGGUAAUACGGAGGAUGCGAGCGUUAUCCGGAUUCAUUGGGUUUAAAGGGUGCGUAGGCGGCUUUGCAAGUCAGCGGUGAAAGGCCCGGGCUCAACCCGGAAAGUGCCGUUGAUACUGUGAGGCUGGAAUGCGGAUGCUGUGGGAGGAAUGAGUGGUGUAGCGGUGAAAUGCAUAGAUAUCACUCAGAACACCGAUUGCGAAGGCAUCUCACAAAUCCGCAAUUGACGCUGAGGCACGAAAGCGUGGGGGAUCGAACAGGGAUUAGAUACCCUGGGUAGU